CUGGUGAGUAACACGUGGGAAACCUGCCCAGAAGCGGGGGAUAACACCUGGAAACAGAUGCUAAUACCGCAUAACAACUUGGACCGCAUGGUCCGAGCUUGAAAGAUGGCUUCGGCUAUCACUUUUGGAUGGUCCCGCGGCGUAUUAGCUAGAUGGUGGGGUAACGGCUCACCAUGGCAAUGAUACGUAGCCGACCUGAGAGGGUAAUCGGCCACAUUGGGACUGAGACACGGCCCAAACUCCUACGGGAGGCAGCAGUAGGGAAUCUUCCACAAUGGACGAAAGUCUGAUGGAGCAACGCCGCGUGAGUGAAGAAGGGUUUCGGCUCGUAAAACUCUGUUGUUAAAGAAGAACAUAUCUGAGAGUAACUGUUCAGGUAUUGACGGUAUUUAACCAGAAAGCCACGGCUAACUACGUGCCAGCAGCCGCGGUAAUACGUAGGUGGCAAGCGUUGUCCGGAUUUAUUGGGCGUAAAGCGAGCGCAGGCGGUUUUUUAAGUCUGAUGUGAAAGCCUUCGGCUCAACCGAAGAAGUGCAUCGGAAACUGGGAAACUUGAGUGCAGAAGAGGACAGUGGAACUCCAUGUGUAGCGGUGAAAUGCGUAGAUAUAUGGAAGAACACCAGUGGCGAAGGCGGCUGUCUGGUCUGUAACUGACGCUGAGGCUCGAAAGUAUGGGUAGCAAACAGGAUUAGAUACCCUGGUAGUCCAUACCGUAAACGAUGAAUGCUAAGUGUUGGAGGGUUUCCGCCCUUCAGUGCUGCAGCUAACGCAUUAAGCAUUCCGCCUGGGGAGUACGGCCGCAAGGCUGAAACUCAAAGGAAUUGACGGGGGCCCGCACAAGCGGUGGAGCAUGUGGUUUAAUUCGAAGCUACGCGAAGAACCUUACCAGGUCUUGACAUACUAUGCAAAUCUAAGAGAUUAGACGUUCCCUUCGGGGACAUGGAUACAGGUGGUGCAUGGUUGUCGUCAGCUCGUGUCGUGAGAUGUUGGGUUAAGUCCCGCAACGAGCGCAACCCUUAUUAUCAGUUGCCAGCAUUAAGUUGGGCACUCUGGUGAGACUGCCGGUGACAAACCGGAGGAAGGUGGGGAUGACGUCAAAUCAUCAUGCCCCUUAUGACCUGGGCUACACACGUGCUACAAUGGAUGGUACAACGAGUUGCGAACUCGCGAGAGUAAGCUAAUCUCUUAAAGCCAUUCUCAGUUCGGAUUGUAGGCUGCAACUCGCCUACAUGAAGUCGGAAUCGCUAGUAAUCGCGGAUCAGCAUGCCGCGGUGAAUACGUUCCCGGGCCUUGUACACACCGCCCGUCAC
rnacentral:rRNA from 2 species